UACAGAGGGUGCAAGCGUUAAUCGGAAUUACUGGGCGUAAAGCGCGCGUAGGUGGUUUGUUAAGUUGGAUGUGAAAGCCCCGGGCUCAACCUGGGAACUGCAUCCAAAACUGGCAAGCUAGAGUACGGUAGAGGGUGGUGGAAUUUCCUGUGUAGCGGUGAAAUGCGUAGAUAUCGCUUGGAACGCCGAAGGUGAAACCAGGUUGCUGGGAAUGUGCCGACGCUGAGACACGAAAGCCAGGGGAGCAAACGGG
rnacentral:rRNA from 1 species